AGCAAAUCUAUUUUUACAGGAUUCUUUGCUCAUAUUUAAAUAAUUCUGAAGUGAGGUCCAUGUAGCAGACAAACUGAUGUGAUACAGAUGUAAAUCAUCAGUUGUCCUGUUUGAGUUCGAACAACAGGCUCAAGAGACCAGCUCAAAUAAUGAAAUCACUGUCAGGAGUAAACCUUAAUAAACUUUAUUUAUGUACAUCACAAUAUACAAACACAUUUGUACAUAAAUAUUCAAAUUCACCAAAAAAUAAGGCUAAAAUAUUUUUAAAAUUCUAAAAAAAAUAAA